rnacentral:rRNA from 1 species
AACCGGAGCUAAUACCGGAUAAUAUUUUGAACCGCAUGGUUCAAAAGUGAAAGACGGUCUUGCUGUCACUUAUAGAUGGAUCCGCGCUGCAUUAGCUAGUUGGUAAGGUAACGGCUUACCAGGGCAACGAUGCAUAGCCGACCUGAGAGGGUGAUCGGCCACACUGGAACUGAGACACGGUCCAG